rnacentral:lncRNA from 1 species
UGCGAAUUUGUUUACAAGAGAUUUGUGAAUUUGAAGCAUAAUUUAUUUGUAGUUAAGUAUAAUUCUGUUAUUUGCUUAUAUUAAAUAUUCAACGAAGUUUAGAAAAAUCCUUGUUUGUCGCUUUGGUUUACCUUGACAACGCAACAGAACAUAAAGAAAAUAUUUGUUGUUUCAUGUAUAUUGAAAUCGUACCGAUGCAGGAUGGAUCUCCAGAACAGAAAUAUUUGCGUAUUACGUUAUACAAAAGAAACAUUUAUAUAUUACAGCUUGACAAUAAUAUCUAUGUAUGAUGAACUAUAUAUUGUGAAAUAUAUUACACGAGA